rnacentral:tRNA from 1 species
AUUCAUAUAGAUCAUAUAAUAGAUCGUAACACUGAAGAUGUUAAAGAGGUUCUUGGACCUGUGAAUA